rnacentral:rRNA from 1 species
UACAGAGGGGGCGAGCGUUGUUCGGAAUUACUGGGCGUAAAGGGCGCGUAGGCGGCCAACUAAGUCAGACGUGAAAUCCCUCGGCUCAACCGGGGAACUGCGUCUGAUACUGGAUGGCUUGAAUUCGGGAGAGGGAUGCGGAAUUCCAGGUGUAGCGGUGAAAUGCGUAGAUAUCUGGAGGAACACCAGCGGCGAAGGCGGCAUCCUGGACUGGUCCUGACACUCAGGAGCGAAAGCGUGGGGAGCGAUCCGG